GCUAGAGGCAGUGGUACAUACCUGUUCUCCCUGCUGCUGGGGAGGCUGAGGCUGGUGGAUUGCUUGAGUUAUUGCUGCAGUAGGGUUAAAGCUGAUUGGGUUUCCCCACUAAGAUUGGCACCAAUAUGGUGAGCCCUAAGGAGUGGAGGACCCAUUAGGCUGCCUAAGGAGAGGCAAACUGCCCUAGGUCUUAAAUAGAGCAGGUCAAGCUUCCAUGCUGACCAGCAGUGGGUCAGACCCAUCAAUGGCCACUAGACUUCCAGUCUUGGUAACAUAGGGAGACCCAGUUUCA
rnacentral:SRP_RNA from 1 species